ACGUUGAAUUUUAAUUUUUGAAAAUACCCAGUUCCAUAUCAAGAAGCGGUAUUGACCUUGAAAUUUAGGAAGAUAUGACCUUGAGGUAAUUGUUACAUCUAUCAUAGUAUGUACUUUGUAAUCAAACCGUUUUUUUUAAGAAUUGAAAUUACUCAAGAAUUAUUAUUGAAGAAUCGAAAUUAUCCAAUAAUUUAAGUCUGCGAGCCUGUAAACGUAUUUUUUCAAAAUAGAGCCCGAUUUUCGAAGUCUUAUGAGUCAAGUUUCUAUAAUUAAUACUUUUUGAAUUAUAUGGAUAGCUUGAUAUAGAAUUUGAAACUGAAACUGAUGUGGAAUCCUAUAGGCAGUUUUUGGAACGUAACUCGUUAAAUAUUGAUUUUUCGAAAAUUAUACAAAUGAGCUUUCUUGUAGAGAAUUUAAUUAUCUACAGAAAAGCUUUAUGACUCAAGUUUGUACGACCAAUACUUCCCGAAUUAUGUAGCUUGAUAUCAAAUUUUUAAUUGAAACUGGUGUAGAAUCAUAUAGGUAGUUUUUAUUAGGACAUAACUCGUUAAAUAUUGAUUUUUCGAAAAUUAUACAAGGAAGCUUUUUUGUAGAGAAAUGAAUUGUCUACAAGAAAUGUUCUAUACAAAUUUUUCAUAGAAUCGAUCCUUUAGCGGAUAUCAAUUUUUAAAGAAUAUAGUUUCCUAGAUAUAUAGAUCCUUCUCUCUCCAACGAUGUUGAGACAGAGAGGGCGAUACAACAAUUGCACGAAAGACAAAGACAGAACGAUGUCAAACAUUUAUCUUCCAAUCAGUUAUUAUCAUUUUCUGAGCCGAGGAAGCGACCUUUCUGACUGAUUUUUUUUUUUUAAAUUAUUCCUUGUAAAAUUCCGCAGCGGGGUAUAGAGCCCAAUUUUCCAAUUUCGAUUUGAAACGUGAUAAGAAUACGUUUAAAGGCGAGAAAUGUAUUUGUGGAUCUUUUUUCAAAAAUCAGAAAAUCGUAAAAAAAGAAAUCAGAUGCAGAUUGGAAAAUUACAAAUGGUUGACAUCGUUCUGUCCUCGUCUCUCCUCCGAUCGUUGUAUCUCCCUCUCUGUUACAGCAUCAGUGAUGAAGAUCUAUCUAUCCUUGUCUCGGAGCUUCCUAUUUUUCCCGCAACUGUCGCUGAAGUCAACUCGGAAAAAACGAAGCAUCAUCCGAAUUUUUGCAAAGAAAGUUACGGUUCAGAAUCGUCUCAGAAAGAAUCUUUUGGUCAACUUCAAGAUUACAAUAUUGAAAAUACCCAGUUCCAUAUAAAAAAGCAGUUAUGACCUUGAAAUUUAAGAACACAUGACCUUGAGUUACAGAACUGACCCAAAGGAUCCUCCCUAUUUCCCUUGUCAGGGAUGGUGAAGACUCCUGUGAUCUCGUGUCCAUUCUGCCUGAGGAGCUUGUAAACCUCAGCUGCGAAGGGGCUCUGACCGAUUAUGGCAACCUU